UACGAAGGGGGCUAGCGUUGCUCGGAAUCACUGGGCGUAAAGGGUGCGUAGGCGGGUCUUUAAGUCAGGGGUGAAAUCCUGGAGCUCAACUCCAGAACUGCCUUUGAUACUGAAGAUCUUGAGUUCGGGAGAGGUGAGUGGAACUGCGAGUGUAGAGGUGAAAUUCGUAGAUAUUCGCAAGAACACCAGUGGCGAAGGCGGCUAUCUGGACUGUGAUUGACGCUGAGGCGCGAAAGCGUGGGGAGCAAACAGG
rnacentral:rRNA from 1 species